rnacentral:rRNA from 1 species
UACGGGGGGGGGCAAGCGUUGUUCGGAAUUACUGGGCGUAAAGGGCGCGUAGGCGGCCUUCUAAGUCGAACGUGAAAUCCCCGGGCUCAACCCGGGAACUGCGUCCGAUACUGGAAGGCUUGAAUCCGGGAGAGGGAUGCGGGAAUUCCAGGUGUAGCGGUGAAAUGCGUAGAUAUCUGGAGGAACACCGGUGGCGAAGGCGC